rnacentral:rRNA from 1 species
GAUGAACGCUGACGGCGUGCCUAAUACAUGCAAGUCGAGCGAACGGACGAGAAGCUUGCUUCUCUGAUGUUAGCGGCGGACGGGUGAGUAACACGUGGAUAACCUACCUAUAAGACUGGGAUAACUUCGGGAAACCGGAGCUAAUACCGGAUAAUAUUUUGAACCGCAUGGUUCAAAAGUGAAAGACGGUCUUGCUGUCACUUAUAGAUGGAUCCGCGCUGCAUUAGCUAGUUGGUAAGGUAACGGCUUACCAAGGCAACGAUGCAUAGCCGACCUGAGAGGGUGAUCGGCCACACUGGAACUGAGACACGGUCCAGACUCCUACGGGAGGCAGCAGUAGGGAAUCUUCCGCAAUGGGCGAAAGCCUGACGGAGCAACGCCGCGUGAGUGACGAAGGUCUUCGGAUCGUAAAACUCUGUUAUUAGGGAAGAACAUAUGUGUAAGUAACUGUGCACAUCUUGACGGUACCUAAUCAGAAAGCCACGGCUAACUACGUG